CCUACGGGUGGCAGCAGUGGGGAAUAUUGGGCAAUGGGCGCAAGCCUGACCCAGCAAUGCCGCGUGAAGGAAGAAGGCUUUCGGGUUGUAAACUUCUUUGACAGGGGAAGAGCAGAAGACGGUACCCUGAAAACAAGCCACGGCUAACUACGUGCCAGCAGCCGCGGUAAUACGUAGGUGGCAAGCGUUAUCCGGAUUUACUGGGUGUAAAGGGAGCGCAGGCGGCACGGCAAGCCUGAUGUGAAAGCCCGCGGCCCAACCGCGGGACUGCAUUGGGAACUACCGGGCUGGAGUGCCGGAGAGGUAGGCGGAAUUCCUAGUGUAGCGGUGAAAUGCGUAGAUAUUAGGAGGAACACCAGUGGCGAAGGCGGCCUACUGGACGGUGACUGACGCUGAGGCUCGAAAGCGUGGGGAGCAAACAGGAUUAGAUACCCCAGUAGUC
rnacentral:rRNA from 1 species